AGUGAACGCUGGCGGUAGGCCUAACACAUGCAAGUCGAACGGCAGCACAGUAAGAGCUUGCUCUUACGGGUGGCGAGUGGCGGACGGGUGAGGAAUACAUCGGAAUCUACUUUUUCGUGGGGGAUAACGUAGGGAAACUUACGCUAAUACCGCAUACGACCUACGGGUGAAAGCAGGGGAUCUUCGGCCCUUGCCCGAUUUAAUGAGCCGAUGUCGGAUUAGCUAGUUGGCGGGGUAAAGGCCCACCAAGGCGACGAUCCGUAGCUGGUCUGAGAGGAUGAUCAGCCACACUGGAACUGAGACACGGUCCAGACUCCUACGGGAAGCAGCAGUGGGGAAUAUUGGACAAUGGGCGCAAGCCUGAUCCAGCCAUACCGCGUGGGUGAAGAAGGCCUUCGGGUUGUAAAGCCCUUUUGUUGGGAAAGAAAAGCAGCAGGUUAAUACCCCGCUGUUCUGACGGUACCCAAAGAAUAAGCACCGGCUAACUUCGUG
rnacentral:rRNA from 1 species